UAUUUAUCCUGUAGAUUAAACAAAGACAUCUACUGUAUAGGUCGCGGACUAAGCGCACGGUGUAAACGUAGCCAAUUGUUGAGGCAAUCG